AGCAGCCGCGGUAAUUCCAGCUCCAAUAGCGUAUAUUAAAGUUGUUGCAGUUAAAAAGCUCGUAGUUGAAUUUCGGGAUUAGUACGUUGGUCGUGCCUUAGGUACGUACUGGUGUUACUGGUUCCUACCUUCUGACGAACCAUCAUGUCAUUAAUUUGGUGUGGUGGGAAAUCAGGACUGUUACUUUAGAAAAAAUUAGAGUGUUACAAGCGAGGCUCGCGUCUUAGAAUACUAUUAG
rnacentral:rRNA from 1 species